CCAAUAGCGUAUAUUAAAGUUGUUGCAGUUAAAAAGCUCGUAGUUGAAUUUCGGGAUUCUACCGUUGGUCGGGCUAACAAGUCUGUACUGGUGUGUAGAAUUUCUACCUUCUGGGGAACUAUCAUGUUAUUAAUUUAGCGUGGUGGGAAACCAGGACCUUUACCUUGAAAAAAUUAGAGUGUUCAAAGCAGGCUUACGUCUGAAUACAUUAGCAUGGAAUAAUAAAAUAGGACGGUGGUCCUGUUUUGUUGGUUUCUGAAUCACCGUAAUGAUUAAUAGGGAUAGUUGGGGGCAUUAGUAUUCAAUUGUCAGAGGUGAAAUUCUUGGAUUUAUUGAAGACUAACUUCUGCGAAAGCAUUUGCCAAGGAUGUUUUCAUUAAUCAAGAACGAAAGUUAGGGGAUCGAAGACGAUCAGAUACCGUCGUAGUCUUAACCAUAAACUAUGCCGACUAGGGAUCGGACGAUGUUAAAUUUUAUUGACUCGUUCGGCGCCUUACG
rnacentral:misc_RNA from 1 species